CUAACAAGGAUUCCCCCAGUAACGGCGAGUGAAGCGGGAAGAGCUCAAAUUUGAAAUCUCCGAUGCUUGCAUCGGCGAGUUGUAGUUGCGAGAAGCACUUUCUAGGCGGAUCGGUGGUGCCUAAGUUGCUUGGAACAGCACGUCGCAGAGGGUGACAACCCCGUCUGUGGCGGCACCGGCCGCUGACGAUGUGCUUUCGAAGAGUCGGGUUGUUUGGGAAUGCAGCCCAAAAUGGGUGGUAAACUCCAUCUAAAGCUAAAUAUUGGCGUGAGACCGAUAGCGAAGGAAACGAAUGGACUCAGCAAUGCGCCGUUUUGAGAUUCAGCCGGCGGGUGGGAUCGGCGCGGGGUUUGCGGAUCUGAAUGGACCGCGGCCCGGUGCUCGUUUCUCCUCGCCGUCGCACUUCUCUUGGGCGCGCGUCAACGUCGGUUGGGACUGGGUCUGAAAGGUGCCGGGAAGGUAGGAGUGGCCCUCGGGUCCGUUCUGUUACAGCCCUGGUUCUCUCGUGGCUCGGGCCCGACCGAGGCGUUGCAGGGCAUGCCUCUUGUGGCUAGGGUCCCGUCCUUCCGGCCGGCUGUCGAAUGUGGUGGACUGCUUGCAGUGCUACGAACGCUGCCGGUCGUUGGGGUGGUGAUCU
rnacentral:rRNA from 1 species